GAGGGCACAAUGUAUCUGAGGUAGACCACAGGAGGGAGGUGUGGGGGGGGGGGGGGGCGCUGGGCAGGAGAUGGCGACCGGCAGGGCUUUAAUAGUGGAGAGGAGAGGAGGAAAAAUAAAUAAACCAGGACCUAGUGGAGCAUCCUCCCCCCUCCCUCCCUCCCUGGGGGGGGGGGUUGUCCACCUUCACCCAGUUGGCUGCUGCGCAAUGGCUGACUCCCGCUGCGGGGGCUGAAAGGUCGGCCGGAAGAUGCGAUCUGCGUCAAGGUUAGCGGGCAGGACGGGUCCGCUCCCCCCGGGACGCACAGAACGCUCCUCCGUCCCCUCGUUGUGCUUCAGUGAAUUGAUGGUGAAAAGCAGCUGUGCUAUUCUGGGUCCGCGGCACAUCACACCAUAAACGUCCCUGCAGCGGAGCAGCGCGUUUUGCGUCAGGGUCACGUGGUGCGCUAAGGCCCUCCCCUUGAACUAAAGUAACCUUGAGAUGGGCCGAUAAAAGGGUUCUGGAUGGAUCGUCCUUCAGAGAAGCACAGCUUCAGGGCCGGUGAAAGCUAAACGGACGGCUCCUUCAUAUCUGCUGCUGAGAUGCUGCAUCCUCCUCCACCACCUGGGGGGUUUGUUUCUCACAGGUGUCCCCGGCAGUGGCGCUUAAUGUCUUAUUGUGUCGCUGUCAUGUGACUGACCUGAUUAAAUGAGUCGCCGCUAAUCUGUCUCUCACCGCCUUCCCGUCCUCUCCGUGUUCUGUGAUCCAGCAGAGGAGGAGGAGGAGGAGGAGGAGGAGACACACGGGACAGCGAGCAGAGACAGUCUGGCUGAAGAGGAGGUGUCCAGGAAGGGAGACACCUCCUCUUUUGUCAAAGUCGGCAGAUCGUGACCGAGUUACCUGAAACACCUGUUACCGAAUGCAGAUAUUUAUUUGUUUUGCAGCGGGAUCAGAAGGAGUGUGUAAAACACAAUAUCAAAGUGCUCCUCCUAUUACCACAGAAAUGGGAGUUUUGGGUUCAGGUCAAGGGUCAAAGGGGAUAAAUAACAGAGAUUAACUUUCUCCUCCUCUGCCAUGGUGGUGAUGAAUUAGGAAUUCCUUGUUUUCCAAGGCCAAAAUCAAGCGUAAAUCAUGACAUGUCCUUAAAAUAUGUGGUCAACCACAGACCUGUGGUGUUCCUUCCUUUAGUGGAGGCCGCAUGUGGUGCUUAAAGUAGAAUGAGGAAACCAUGUGGCCUGCUUCACUGUGAUCAUUUCUCAGGAAAACAUUGAAAGGUACCUUGAGUUAUAAAAUCCGACGUUGAAGCACAUUUGCACUGGUGGGAAGAGAACAAAUAACCUGCCGAUCAAUCUUUGCGUGUAAAAAAAAAAGUAUGAGUAAAAGAUUGAUGGGAAUAAAUGUAUCUUAUCUGUCCACAUGUUUUCCAGCACUAGAGAUAAGACGCUGCCAUCUGAAGCGUGCAUCACUUUGACCCAGUGACUCUGGACUCAUCGCACAGGUUUCACCAGUAAACACGUUCCUCGGAAUGAACAGAUCAAAUGAGACGAGACCUCGGUUUUCACUCCGAACAGCAGUAAGGAGGGUUGUUUCUUAGACUCUACGAUCGUAGAAAAAGAAAAGGACAAGUGAAGCUUAGUGAAUGUCAUUUGUUGACCAGUUGUUUCCAGCCUCGUUGGCUCCUCAAAAGCGAUUUCCCCUCCAAAUGUCUCAGAUGUUCUGACAGCUUGAGGCUUGAAGUAUAAACUCCAAUAUUUCUCAAACUAGAAAGAUGGCAAAAAAGUCUGAAAUAAAUACUUAAUAAAAAACCCCAACAUGGAUCUAUCUGCAUUUAUUUAGCCCCCAGGAGCACGCGGCAGCAGUCUGGCCUGAGCAAUGUUUAUGUCAUUUACGGAAACUCCAGUUAACUCAUGUCUGUACUGGUUUCCGAGGAUGUCUUUAGAUCAGUGUGUGGAUACGGUGAUCUAAAUGCCUCCUCUGCAACAGGUUCUACAGCACAAAGCCUCUACUAAUGAGCCGAGGAAAAACCGGAGGAAGUCUGAUAUUCAGGAAAUGCUUCUGCAAUGGGAUGAAAAACACCCACGAGGCCGUCUUCCCUUCCAGGAGUUCUUAUAUUCACGGUUACUUUUUAGUAACACCUAUUAGCUGCG